rnacentral:rRNA from 1 species
UGAACGCUGGCGGCAUGCUUUACACAUGCAAGUCGGACGGCAGCACAGAGAAGCUUGCUUCUCGGGUGGCGAGUGGCGAACGGGUGAGUAACAUAUCGGAACGUACCGAGUAGUGGGGGAUAACUGAUCGAAAGAUUAGCUAAUACCGCAUACGUCUUGAGAGAGAAAGCAGGGGACCUUUGGGCCUUGCGCUAUUCGAGCGGCCGAUAUCUGAUUAGCUAGUUGGUGGGGUAAAGGCCUACCAAGGCGACGAUCAGUAGCGGGUCUGAGAGGAUGAUCCGCCACACUGGGACUGAGACACGGCCCAGACUCCUACGGGAGGCAGCAGUGGGGAAUUUUGGACAAUGGGCGCAAGCCUGAUCCAGCCAUGCCGCGUGUCUGAAGAAGGCCUUCGGGUUGUAAAGGACUUUUGUCAGGGAAGAAAAGGCUGUUGCUAAUAUCAGCGGCUGAUGACGGUACCUGAAGAAUAAGCACCGGCUAACUACGUGCCAGCAGCCGCGGUAAUACGUAGGGUGCGAGCGUUAAUCGGAAUUACUGGGCGUAAAGCGGGCGCAGACGGUUACUUAAGCAGGAUGUGAAAUCCCCGGGCUCAACCCGGGAACUGCGUUCUGAACUGGGUGACUCGAGUGUGUCAGAGGGAGGUAGAAUUCCACGUGUAGCAGUGAAAUGCGUAGAGAUGUGGAGGAAUACCGAUGGCGAAGGCAGCCUCCUGGGAUAACACUGACGUUCAUGCCCGAAAGCGUGGGUAGCAAACAGGAUUAGAUACCCUGGUAGUCCACGCCCUAAACGAUGUCAAUUAGCUGUUGGGCAACUUGAUUGCUUAGUAGCGUAGCUAACGCGUGAAAUUGACCGCCUGGGGAGUACGGUCGCAAGAUUAAAACUCAAAGGAAUUGACGGGGACCCGCACAAGCGGUGGAUGAUGUGGAUUAAUUCGAUGCAACGCGAAGAACCUUACCUGGUCUUGACAUGUACGGAAUCCUCCAGAGACGGAGGAGUGCCUUCGGGAGCCGUAACACAGGUGCUGCAUGGCUGUCGUCAGCUCGUGUCGUGAGAUGUUGGGUUAAGUCCCGCAACGAGCGCAACCCUUGUCAUUAGUUGCCAUCAUUCAGUUGGGCACUCUAAUGAGACUGCCGGUGACAAGCCGGAGGAAGGUGGGGAUGACGUCAAGUCCUCAUGGCCCUUAUGACCAGGGCUUCACACGUCAUACAAUGGUCGGUACAGAGGGUAGCCAAGCCGCGAGGCGGAGCCAAUCUCACAAAACCGAUCGUAGUCCGGAUUGCACUCUGCAACUCGAGUGCAUGAAGUCGGAAUCGCUAGUAAUCGCAGGUCAGCAUACUGCGGUGAAUACGUUCCCGGGUCUUGUACACACCGCCCGUCACACCAUGGGAGUGGGGGAUACCAGAAGUAGGUAGGGUAACCGCAAGGAGUCCGCUUACCACGGUAUGCUUCAUGACUGGGGUGAAGUCGUAA